rnacentral:rRNA from 1 species
UACAGGGGGGGCAAGCGUUGUUCGGAAUUACUGGGCGUAAAGGGUCUGUAGGUGGCCAACUAAGUCAGACGUGAAAUCCCUCAGCUUAACUGGGGAACUGCGUCUGAUACUGGAUGGCUUGAGUGCAGGAGAGGAAUGCGGAAUUCCAGGUGUAGCGGUGAAAUGCGUAGAUAUCUGGAGGAACACCGGUGGCGAAGGCGGCAUUCUGGACUGUAACUGACACUGAGACGCGAAAGCGUGGGGAGCAAACAGG